rnacentral:lncRNA from 1 species
UCUGAAAAGUCCUCUGGUUGCAACUCAUUUGCCAACUGGGCAACUCUUGCAGCAGCUUCUUCUAACCUUUCAGACUCAGACCUCUGAGCAUCAAGACUCUGAAACAGCUUGGAUUCUACCCAGAUGACUUUGAAAGCGUUCAGACGUUGUUCAGCAGCAGCAAGUGCUUCCAGCUUAGCACGUUCAGACUCAGCAUGAUUGAAAGUUGUAAUCCUCUUCAAC